UCUCAUAUAGUGUGCAGUGUUUUAAUUCUUAUAAUAACAGGGUUGCUCAGUUUGCCAGCAGGAGGCCCCUCAAAGCAAGAUGAUGCCUCUCAGUUGGCAGAUUUCUGUGUAAAUAAAUAACACUGCACAUUCCUUUUAAAUACCUGAGUAAGUGAGAUAAUGCUAUGUAACUUUUUUUUUAAUUAAAAAAAACCCCAGCUGUAUUAUGUCAGUGACCUGUAAUAAAUAGCACUGCAAGUAGAAGUGACAGCCUCAUUCACCUUGCAUCCAUGCAGAAAUAACUGAGCUCUAUUUCCAUGGCUGGAGGGAGAAGAAGAAAGAAGAGAAGGAAAGAAAAAAACUGACAUUGGUUUGCAGUCACUCUCAGGCUAACAAGGGGGAGUUACAUGGACAAUUUUUACUGUGUUGCAUUUACUGCUCAACACAUUGCAAGUAACCUCUUGUACUCUAAUCAUUGGGAUAGUCGUUGAUGAUAAUGAAGUGACGGCAAUAAACAGUCUUUUGACGUUUUCCUGAAUUCUGUGUGUUUUUCUGUUAACCUUUCAUCAGUUGGCAAAAUAUCAUACUGAAAUUUUUAUUGCUGGUUGAGCAUAAUGAUGCAAUGAUUACAAACACAAUUUGGAACAAAGAUGGCAAUAAAUGUUUAAAAUUUUCUAAUUGUGAUAAGACAAUAUCAUCUCCACAUCAUCCUCUGCUCUCCCUAAAUAAUGGUAAGUGUAAAGACUGAAAUAUUAAAUAUGAAAAGGAAAAGCC
rnacentral:lncRNA from 1 species